UUACAAGUGAACUUUCUUUCCUGUUUUAAAGCCUUUUAAAUAAACUUCCACUCCUGUGCUGAAACUUGCCUUAGUCUUUUUUUCUGCUUUAUGCCCCUCAGUCGAAUUCUUUCAUCUGAGGAGGCAAGAAUUGAAGUUGCUGCAGACGCCUGUGGAUUCACCACAAGUACAUUGGAGUAACCACUGGGAACAACAGGUUGCCUUAGAAGCUUUGCAGGUUGUUUUGUUUUUUUGUUUGUUUGUUUUUUUGAGACGGGGUCUCACUUUGUCGCCCAGGUUUGUUGCCCAGGCUGGAGUGCAGUGGCGCAAUCUCGGCUCUCCGCAACCUCUGCCUCCCGGGCUCAAGUGAUCCUCCCACCUCGGCUUCCCGAGUACCUGGGACUACAGGCAUGCACCACCACACCCGGCUAAUUUUAAUUUUUAUUUUGUAUUUUUAGUAGAGUUGGGGUUUCACCAUGUUCCCAGCUGGUCUUGAACUCUUGAGGUGAAGCAAUCCGCCCACCUCAGCCUCCCAAAGUGCUGAGAUUACAGACGUGAGCCAUCGCGCCUAGCCUUGCAAGUUGUUUUUUGUUGAACAGAAGAAGCUAUUCAAAAAUGUCCAGGACUCUGUUAUUUAUUCAGCAAGCUUACAAAGCCAUCUUUGAUUGACUGAUUCUUUGACAAUGACUAUCUGGAUGACACAGGAAGGAUGCAAUUCUGGCCUUGGAGAGAAAACUUGCAAGGAAAGGAACAUGUUUGAAUUUCAGAUGUGUUCCUCAAUGAAUCACG